rnacentral:rRNA from 1 species
GCGAACGCUGGUGGCAGGUCUAACACAUGCAAGUCGAGCGGCCCUUCGGGGCAGCGGCGGACGGGUGAGUAACGCGUGGGAACGUGCCCUUUGGUACGGAACAACUGAGGGAAACUUCAGCUAAUACCGUAUGUGCCCUACGGGGGAAAGAUUUAUCGCCAUUGGAGCGGCCCGCGUUAGGUUAGCUAGUUGGUAGGGUAAUGGCCUACCAAGGCGACGAUCUAUAGCUGGUCUGAGAGGAUGAUUAGCCACACUGGGACUGAGACACGGCCCAGGGUCUUACGGGAGGCAGCAGUGGGGAGUCUUGCGCAAUGGGCAAAAUCCUGACGCAGCCAUUCCGCGUGAAGAAUGAAGGUCUUAGGAGUAUAAAAUUCUUUCACCGGUGGCGAUGAUGACGGUACCCGGGGAAGAAGCCUCGGAUAAGAGCGAGCCUGCCACCGCCGUAACAC